UUUUUUUUUUAAAUGUUUUUUGACACUCAUGGUUAAUUAAUAUAUUUAUUUUUUGUCAUUUAAGGUUGCCGGAAAUGCAGUAGGCAAAAAGUUUUCAAAUACGACUCCAUAACAGGAAGAAGGAUAAAUGAGGGGCAAGCAGAAGUAAGGGUGAAAUGGUUACCUUGCUCUGCAUGUGGAAAAAUCUGGGAGGAGACAUGGGAGCCGGCCUGCCAGUUCUCACCAGGUGUCAAGCAUGUGUGACGUCACCCAUUCAUCUACAAUUCAGUAUGAGUUGAAUACCUGCUAUGAGUUGUCGAGUUCGCUGUUACGGCACAGCCAUCCUGUUUGCGCAUGUGAUGAUUUUAGAUAAGAAGGAGGAGCCACGUUA